AUGGUUGUGGCGCCGCAGCCGGCGGAGCUCGACGAGUACCCACCGGACCACCGCGAAUGGGUCUUCUUCACAAAGUCCUACGCCACCGGGCUGUCGACUUGUCGCGGGAGGAAGUGGCUGGACGCCGGCGAGGUCGUCCACUUCGCCUUCCCUUCGCACGAAGGCAGGAUCAGGGUGCCGUACAGGCAGGCGGUGGCGUUGGCAGAGAUCGUGCGCUUCUCGACAAACCGAUCUGGAGAGAUCGGGAAGUUGUCUCCCGAGUGGGCGAGGUGCCUUGCCCCGCUGGUGAGUUCUUCCAAGGUUAUGAUCCAGGGGAAGAUGGUGUUUCCGAUGAUGGAGCUCAGGCUGAUGCAGGAGGUGUUGCUGUAUGUCAGCUUCUACAUCCACCGCUCGUCCUUGUACCUGAUUUCUCCUAAAAAUGAAUGUCAUCCAAACAAUCCCCUCCGCGGCCUCUUCAAGUUGCUUCGGCGAUUCGGUGUAGCUGAAGCCUGA
rnacentral:rRNA from 1 species